GACGAACGCUGGCGGCGUGCUUAACACAUGCAAGUCGAACGGAAAGGCCCUGCUUUUUUGGGGUGCUCGAGUUGCGAACGGGUGAGUAACACGUGAGUAACCUGCCCUUGACUUUGGGAUAACUUCAGGAAACUGGGGCUAUUACCGGAUAGGAGCUCCUGCUGCUUGGUGGGGGUUGGUUAGUUUCGGCGGGUGUGGUUGGAAUCGCCGGUUAUCAGCUUGUUGUUUGGGUAGUGGCUUACCAAGGCCUUGAGGGGUAGCAGGGCUGUGAGGCUUACCGGCGACAUGGGGACAGAAAUAAGACCCAGACUCCUACGGGAGGCAAGAGUGGGGAAGAUAGCACAAUGGGAGGAAGCAUGAUACAGCAAAGCGGUGUGCGGGAUGACAGCCAUCGGGUAGUAAACCGAAUUAGCCUGAGACGAAGCGUGAGUGACGGUAAUGGGUAAAGAAGCACCGGCUAACUACGUG
rnacentral:rRNA from 1 species